rnacentral:rRNA from 1 species
UACGGGGGGGGCGAGCGUUGUUCGGAAUCACUGGGCGUAAAGGGCGCGUAGGCGGCCCGCACAAGUCUGCGGUGAAAACCUCCGGCUUAACCGGGGGCCGGCCGUGGAAACUGUCGGGCUGGAGGCUGGGAGAGGGCAGCGGAAUUCCCGGUGUAGCGGUGAAAUGCGUAGAGAUCGGGAGGAACACCGGCGGCGAAGGCGGCCUGCUGGGCAGUUGCUGACACUGAGGCGCGACAGCGUGGGGAGCGAACAGG